AAACCAGCAUCUCAAGUGGUCAGGAUGAUUAUUGGGCCUAAAGCAUCCGUAGCCGGCUCUGUAAGUUUUCGGUUAAAUCUGUACGCUUAACGUACAGGCUGCCGGGAAUACUGCAGAGCUAGGGAGUGGGAGAGGUAGACGGUACUCGGGAGGAAGUGGUAAAAUGCUUUGAUCUCUCGAUGACCACCUGUGGCGAAGGCGGUCUACCAGAACACGUCCGACGGUGAGGGAUGAAAGCUGGGGGAGCAAACCGGAUUAGAAACCCUGGUAGUCC
rnacentral:rRNA from 1 species